GUGUCUCGGCCAAGCACAAACCAGGUAUUUUCCCUUGUAUUGUCUCAUGAUGGAAUUCCAAACACAUAUACCACAGUUUUUAAUUAUUUGUUUCUUUUCUCACAUAGUUUUUGAAGUAUUUGACUCAUAAAAAUUUUGGUAAUUACCCAAUUUUGUAUUUGUUGCCAUGAAAUCAGCACUGAAUAGCUCCAAAUGAAAUUGUUCAAGAAUCCAAUAGAGCACAAAUUUAGUUGGAGGGCUCAAUAACAAAAACUCAAAAAGUUCUAGGGCUUUGUAAUGGAUUACUAGAUUUUGCCUAAAUUAUAUCCUAGGUUUGUGUCAUAUCAUCAACAAGAGGACAUGGACCACCCUUAAAAGAGAGAUGGUGGUGGAAUGAAGAAGUACAAAAGGCAGUGAAGAGGAAAAGAUAAUGGUAUAAGAAAUGACCUAAAUGUGAUAAUAAUGAGG
rnacentral:misc_RNA from 1 species